rnacentral:rRNA from 1 species
UACGUAGGUGGCAAGCGUUGUUCGGAAUUAUUGGGCGUAAAGGGCGCGUAGGCGGACUCUUAAGUCGGUGGUGAAAUCCUGGAGCUCAACUCCAGAACUGCCUUCGAUACUGGGAGUCUCGAGUCCGGGAGAGGUGAGUGGAACUGCGAGUGUAGAGGUGAAAUUCGUAGAUAUUCGCAAGAACACCAGUGGCGAAGGCGGCUCACUGGCCCGGUACUGACGCUGAGGUGCGAAAGCGUGGGGAGCAAACAGG